rnacentral:rRNA from 1 species
CAACAGGGAUUGCCCUAGUAACGGCGAGUGAAGCGGCAACAGCUCAAAUUUGAAAUCUGGCGUCUUUGGCGUCCGAGUUGUAAUUUGCAGAGGGCGCUUUGGCAUUGGCAGCGGUCCAAGUUCCUUGGAACAGGACGUCACAGAGGGUGAGAAUCCCGUACGUGGUCGCUAGCCUUUACCGUGUAAAGCCCCUUCGACGAGUCGAGUUGUUUGGGAAUGCAGCUCUAAAUGGGAGGUAAAUUUCUUCUAAAGCUAAAUACUGGCCAGAGACCGAUAGCGCACAAGUAGAGUGAUCGAAAGAUGAAAAGCACUUUGGAAAGAGAGUUAAAAAGCACGUGAAAUUGUUGAAAGGGAAGCGCUUGCAGCCAGACUUGCCUGUAGUUGCUCAUCUAGGUUUCUACCUAGUGCACUCUUCUAUAGGCAGGCCAGCAUCAGUUUGGGCGGUUGGAUAAAGGUCUCUGUCAUGUACCUCUCUUCGGGGAGAACUUAUAGGGGAGACGACAUGCAACCAGCCUGGACUGAGGUCCGCGCAUCUGCUAGGAUGCUGGCGUAAUGGCUGUAAGCGGCCCGUCUUGAAACACGGACCAAGGAGUCUAACAUCUAUGCGAGUGUUUGGGUGUCAAGCCCGAGCGCGUAAUGAAAGUGAACGGAGGUGGGAACCUUUCGGGGUGCACCAUCGACCGAUCCUGAUGUCUUCGGAUGGAUUUGAGUAAGAGCAUAGCUGUUGGGACCCGAAAGAUGGUGAACUAUGCUUGAAUAGGGUGAAGCCAGAGGAAACUCUGGUGGAGGCUCGCAGCGGUUCUGACGUGCAAAUCGAUCGUCAAAUUUGGGCAUAGGGGCGAAAGACUAAUCGAACUAUCUAGUAGCUGGUUCCUGC